rnacentral:rRNA from 1 species
AUCUAAUUUACUACAACUCUAAACCAAAACAUUCUUAUUUUAGUAUGGGCGACAGAACAAUAACCUUAGCGCAAUAGCUUAUGUACCGCAAGGGACAGCUGAAAAAGAAAUGAAAUAAAUCAUUAAAGUAUUAAAAAGCAGAGAUUACACCUCGUACCUUUUGCAUCAUGAUUUAGCCAGAAAAACUAGGCAAAAAGAUUUUAAGUCUACCUCCCCGAAACUAAACGAGCUACUCCGAAGCAGUACUAUAGAACCAACCCGUCUCUGUGGCAAAAGAGUGGGUGAAAAACCUAUCGAGUUUAGUGAUAGCUGGUUACCCAAGAAAAGAACUUUAGUUCUGCAUUAAUUUUUAUAUUUAAACAAGACUUACUCGUUAAAAGACCUAUAAGAAUUAAUAGUUAUUUAGAAGAGGUACAACCCUUCUAAACCAAGAUACAACUUUUUAAGGUGGGAAAUGAUCAUAAUUAUUAAGGUUGUUCCAUCAGUGGGCCUAAAAGCAGCCAUCUGUAAAGUAAGCGUCACAGCUCCAGCAACCUAUAAUUUAGAUAUUUACUCAAAACCCCCUUAUUUUAUAAAAAAGAACUUAUGCUAAAAUGAGUAAUAAGAGAACAAAUCUCUCCCGACACAAGUGUAUAUCAGAAGAAUUAAAUCACUGAUAAUUAAACAGCCCCAAACUGAGGUCAUUAACUAGAAAAUCCUAUUCUUU